rnacentral:rRNA from 1 species
GCAAGUCGAACGAGAUUAUCCAGCUUGCUGGAUAUGAAAGUGGCGCACGGGUGCGUAACGCGUGAGCAACCUACCUCUGUCAGGGGGAUAGCCCGGCGAAAGUCGGAUUAACACCGCAUGACAUUAUUGAUGUGGCAUCACAUUAUAAUCAAAUAUUUAUAGGACAGAGAUGGGCUCGCGUGACAUUAGCUAGUUGGAGAGGUAACGGCUCACCAAGGCAACGAUGUCUAGGGGCUCUGAGAGGAGAAUCCCCCACACUGGUACUGAGACACGGACCAGACUCCUACGGGAGGCAGCAGUAAGGAAUAUUGGUCAAUGGAGGGAACUCUGAACCAGCCAUGCCGCGUGCAGGAUGACUGCCCUAUGGGUUGUAAACUGCUUUUGUCGGGGAAUAAACCUACGUUUGUAAACGUAGCUGAAUGUACCCGAAGAAUAAGGAUCGGCUAACUCCGUGCCAGCAGCCGCGGUAAUACGGAGGAUCCAAGCGUUAUCCGGAUUUAUUGGGUUUAAAGGGUGCGUAGGCGGUUCUUUAAGUCAGAGGUGAAAGACGGCAGCUUAACUGUCGCAGUGCCUUUGAUACUGAAGAACUUGAAUUAGGUUGAGGAAUGCGGAAUGAGACAAGUAGCGGUGAAAUGCAUAGAUAUGUCUCAGAACCCCGAUUGCGAAGGCAGCAUUCCAAGCCUUUAUUGACGCUGAUGCACGAAAGCGUGGGGAUCGAACAGGAUUAGAUACCCUGGUAGUCCACGCCCUAAACGAUGAUAACUCGAUGUUGGCGAUAGACAGUCAGCGUCCCAGCGAAAGCGUUAAGUUAUCCACCUGGGGAGUACGCCCGCAAGGGUGAAACUCAAAGGAAUUGACGGGGGCCCGCACAAGCGGAGGAGCAUGUGGUUUAAUUCGAUGAUACGCGAGGAACCUUACCCGGGCUUGAAAGUUAGUGAAUGAUCCAGAGACGGAUCAGUCCUUCGGGACACGAAACUAGGUGCUGCAUGGCUGUCGUCAGCUCGUGCCGUGAGGUGUUGGGUUAAGUCCCGCAACGAGCGCAACCCCUAUGUUUAGUUGCCAGCAUGUAAUGAUGGGGACUCUAAACAGACUGCCUGCCCAAGCAGAGAAGGAAGGUGGGGACGACGUCAAGUCAUCAUGGCCCUUACGUCCGGGGCUA